UUGAACGCUGGCCGCAGGCCUAACACCUGCAAGUCGAACGGUAACAGGAAGAAGCUUGCUUCUUUGCUGACGAGUGGCGGACGGGUGAGUAAUGUCUGGGAAACUGCCUGAUGGAGGGGGAUAACUACUGGAAACGGUAGCUAAUACCGCAUAACGUCGCAAGCCCAAAGAGGGGGACCUUCGGGCCUCUUGCCAUCGGAUGUGCCCAGAUGGGAUUAGCUAGUAGGUGGGGUAACGGCUCACCUAGGCGACGAUCCCUAGCUGGUCUGAGAGGAUGACCAGCCACACUGGAACUGAGACACGGUCCAGACUCCUACGGGAGGCAGCAGUGGGGAAUAUUGCACAAUGGGCGCAAGCCUGAUGCAGCCAUGCCGCGUGUAUGAAGAAGGCCUUCGGGUUGUAAAGUACUUUCAGCGGGGAGGAAGGGAGUAAAGUUAAUACCUUUGCUCAUUGACGUUACCCGCAGAAGAAGCACCGGCUAACUCCGUG
rnacentral:rRNA from 1 species